GACGAACGCUGGCGGCGUGCUUAACACAUGCAAGUCGAGCGGAAAGGCCACUUCGGUGGUACUCGAGCGGCGAACGGGUGAGUAACACGUGAGUAAUCUGCCCUUGGCUUUGGGAUAGCCACCGGAAACGGUGAUUAAUACCGGAUACGACCACUUCUCGCAUGGGACGGUGGUGGAAAGUUUUUUCGGCCAGGGAUGUGCUCGCGGCCUAUCAGCUCGAUGGUGAGGUAAUGGCUCACCAUGGCUUCGACGGGUAGCCGGCCUGAGAGGGUGACCGGUCACACUGGGACUGAGACACGGCCCAGACUCCUACGGGAGGCAGCAGUGGGGAAUAUUGGACAAUGGGCGGAAGCCUGAUCCAGCAACGCCGCGUGAGGGAUGACGGCCUUCGGGUUGUAAACCUCUUUCAGCAGGGACGAAGCGCAAGUGACGGUACCUGCAGAAGAAGCACCGGUCAACUACGUGCCAGCCGCCGCGGUAA
rnacentral:rRNA from 1 species